rnacentral:rRNA from 1 species
AGCAGCCGCGGUAAUUCCAGCUCCAAUAGCGUAUAUUAAAGUUGUUGCAGUUAAAAAGCUCGUAGUUGAAUUUCGGGAUCAAUAUACCGGUCGUGCCUCAGGUAUGAACUGGUCUUAUUGGUUUCUCCCUUCUGACGAACCAUGAUGUCAUUAAUUUGAUGUCGUGGAGAAUCAGGACUGUUACUUUGAAAAAUUAGAGUGUUUAAAGCAGGCUAACGCUUGAAUACAUUAGCAUGGAAUAAUGAAAUAGGACGUUCGACCCUAUUUUGUUGGUUUCUAGGAUCGACGUAAUGAUUAAUAGGGAUAGUUGGGGGCAUUAGUAUUCAAUUGUCAGAGGUGAAAUUCUUGGAUUUAUUGAAGACUAAUACUGCGAAAGCAUUUGCCAAGGAUGUUUUCAUUAAUCAAGAACGAAG